GAUGAACGCUGGCGGCGUGCCUAAUACAUGCAAGUCGAGCGAACGGACGAGUAGCUUGCUUCUCUGAUGUUAGCGGCGGACGGGUGAGUAACACGUGGAUAACCUACCUAUAAGACUGGGAUAACUUCGGGAAACCGGAGCUAAUACCGGAUAAUAUUUUGAACCGCAUGGUUCAAAAGUGAAAGACGGUCUUGCUGUCACUUAUAGAUGGAUCCGCGCUGCAUUAGCUAGUUGGUAAGGUAACGGCUUACCAAGGCAACGAUGCAUAGCCGACCUGAGAGGGUGAUCGGCCACACUGGAACUGAGACACGGUCCAGACUCCUACGGGAGGCAGCAGUAGGGACUCUUCCGCAAUGGGCGAAAGCCUGACGGAGCAACGCCGCGUGAGUGAUGAAGGUCUUCGGAUCGUAAAACUCUGUUAUUAGGGAAGAACAUAUGUGUAAGUAACUGUGCACAUCUUGACGGUACCUAAUCAGAAAGCCACGGCUAACUACGUG
rnacentral:rRNA from 1 species